rnacentral:rRNA from 1 species
GGGUUAAGUCCCGCAACGAGCGCAACCCUUAUUGUUAGUUGCCAUCAUUCAGUUGGGCACUCUAGCAAGACUGCCGGUGACAAACCGGAGGAAGGUGGGGAUGACGUCAAAUCAUCAUGCCCCUUAUGACCUGGGCUACACACGUGCUACAAUGGGAAGUACAACGAGUCGCGAAGUCGCGAGGCUAAGCUAAUCUCUUAAAGCUUCUCUCAGUUCGGAUUGCAGGCUGCAACUCGCCUGCAUGAAGCCGGAAUCGCUAGUAAUCGCGGAUCAGCACGCCGCGGUGAAUACGUUCCCGGGCCUUGUACACACCGCCCGUCACACCACGAGAGUUUGUAACACCCGAAGUCGGUGAGGUAACCUUUUGGAGCCAGCCGCCUAAGGUGGGAUAGAUGAUUGGGGUGAAGUCGUAACAAGGUAGCCGUAUCGGAAGGUGCGGCUGGAUCACCUCCUUU